rnacentral:rRNA from 1 species
GGAUAUCAGUUAGAAAUGACUGGUAAUACCGCAUAAGCGCACAGGACCGCAUGGUCCGGUGUGAAAAACUCCGGUGGUAUGAGAUGGACCCGCGUCUGAUUAGCUGGUUGGCGGGGUAACGGCCCACCAAGGCGACGAUCAGUAGCCGACCUGAGAGGGUGGCCGGCCACAUUGGGACUGAGACACGGCCCAAACUCCUACGGGAGGCAGCAGUGGGGAAUAUUGCACAAUGGGGGAAACCCUGAUGCAGCAACGCCGCGUGAGUGAAGAAGUAUUUCGGUAUGUAAAGCUCUAUCAGCAGGGAAGAAAAAAGACGGUACCUGACUAAGAAGCCCCGGCUAACUACGUGCCAGCAGCCGCGGUAAUACGUAGGGGGCAAGCGUUAUCCGGAUUUACUGGGUGUAAAGGGAGCGUAGACGGCAUAGCAAGUCUGAAGUGAAAGCCUGUGGCUCAACCGCGGAACUGCUUUGGAAACUGUUAAGCUGGAGUACUGGAGAGGCAAGCGGAAUUCCUAGUGUAGCGGUGAAAUGCGUAGAUAUUAAGAGGAACACCAGUGGCGAAGGCGGCUUGCUGGACAGAGACUGACGUUGAGGCUCGAAAGCGUGGGGAGCAAACAGGAUUAGAUACCCUGGUAGUCCACGCGGUAAACGACGAAAGGUAGGUGUUGGCGGGCAAAGCCCGUCGGUGCCGCCG